rnacentral:rRNA from 1 species
GACGAACGCUGGCGGCGUGCUUAACACAUGCAAGUCGAACGGUAAGGCCCUUCGGGGUACACGAGUGGCGAACGGGUGAGUAACACGUGGGUGAUCUGCCCUGCGCUUCGGGAUAAGCCUGGGAAACUGGGUCUAAUACCGGAUAGGACCACUGCCUGCAUGGGGGGUGGUGGAAAGCUUUUGCGGUGUGGGAUGGGCCCGCGGCCUAGCAGCUUGUUGGUGGGGUGAUGGCCUACCAAGGCGACGACGGGUAGCCGGCCUGAGAGGGUGACCGGCCACACUGGGACUGAGAUACGGCCCAGACUCCUACGGGAGGCAGCAGUGGGGAAUAUUGCACAAUGGGCGCAAGCCUGAUGCAGCGACGCCGCGUGAGGGAUGACGGCCUUCGGGUUGUAAACCUCUUUCAGCACCGACGAAGCGCAAGUGGCAGUAGGUGCAGAAGAAGGACCGGCCAACUACGUGCCAGCCGCCGCCGUAA